GGGGGCGAUCUGGGUUCGACGGGGGUACGAAGUCAAGGCGGCAUGCCGGGGUCCUGUUGGCCCGUUAAACAAACAGGUCUGCAAACUAAACGCAGAUAAUUUCGAGUACGCACUAGCUGCUUAAGCGCGGCUAGCGUCUUACCGGCUUUCUCCCGCGGGGCUGGAUAAGGCGUCACUUAGUGGGAUGGGCCGAUUCUCCCGCCGGGGGGGAUGAGGCCGAGAUCCAAACCGGCUGGUCCUUUAGGACCCUGCCUCUGGGGGCUUGAAGGAUGAGAUCAAAGCAGCGGCUAAGCAUGUAGUUCGUUCUUGGCGGAAUAUCUUCGGACGGGGGUUCAAUUCCCCCCGCCUCCACCA
rnacentral:tmRNA from 1 species